AAAGUAGAUAAAAACCCUAAUUGCAUUUUCAAGCAAGAAAAAAUUAAGGUAAGUAGUAAUCAAUUUACUUUAAGAAAACCUCCAUCAGGAAAUCCAAAGAAAGUGAGUAAAAACUCUUAUUGCAUUGUCAUCCAAGAAAACAUAACGUGAUACGUAGUACCUAAGAAAGCAAAUCAACUUCCCACGAAGAAAUCAUCCACCAGUAAAAUUAUUACCAAAAGAAUGCGAAAAACCAAUCAAUAAAGAAAAUAGGGUUCUCAUAAGUAGCCACCACACAUAGGUCAUUAACCACGAAUCUGGAAACCCGAUUUAUCCAGAUUGAA
rnacentral:lncRNA from 1 species